AGCAGCCGCGGUAAUUCCAGCUCCAAUAGCGUAUAUUAAAGUUGUUGCAGUUAAAAAGCUCGUAGUUGAAUUUCGGGAUCAGAUUGUUGGUCGUGCCUCGGUACGCACUGGCAUUAUUGGUUCCUACCUUCUGAAGAACCGCGAUGUCAUUAAUUUGGUGUCGUGGGGAAUCAGGACUGUUACUUUGAAAAAUUAGAAGUGUUUAAAGCAGGCGCACGCUUGAAUACAUUAGCAUGGAAUAAUGAAAUAGGACGUUUGAUUCUAUUUUGUUGGUUUCUAGGAUCGACGUAAUGAUUAAUAGGGAUAGUUGGGGGCAUUAGUAUUCAAUUGUCAGAGGUGAAAUUCUUGGAUUUAUUGAAGACUAACUACUGCGAAAGCAUUUGCCAAGGAUGUUUUCAUUAAUCAAGAACGAAAGUUAGGGGAUCGAAGACGAUCAGAUACCGUCGUAGU
rnacentral:rRNA from 1 species